AUUCACACAAGAAUUCAACUUAUGGCAACUACUUACUCAGACUGGCUACGAAAAGGAAGGUGAUGAGAUACCGACAGUCAGUUUAUGUUUACCUGGAAGUGAAAUUCCUAACUGGUUCAGAUAUCAAAGUUUAGGAUCUUUAGUAGCUAUUCAGCUACCAUGCAUUGGUGCAAUAGAAGAUUCAUCGGAUUUGCUUUAUGUGUGUUGUUUCCUUUAAUGAGGGAAGUUGUUAUGAGGAAGCAAUUUAUGUUAAUUGUAGUUACCAAUUUGAAAGCAGUUACGGCGAUAGGGUUCACUUCCGUUGCAAUUUCACGGUUGGUGCGGCCUUGCAAGAUGGCAUGAUAAUUGAGUCGGAUCACUUGGUAUUGGGGUAUAGUCCUUGUAUGGAUGUUAAACUACUUAAUGGUGUUCAUACAACAGCCUUAUUUGAGUUCAACCCAAUUAGAAAAUAUCCCGUGGGGAACAUCAAAGGUUCCAAGGUGAAAUGUUGUGGUGUCUGUCCUCUAUAUGCACAACCUGAUGUGAUCGAAAACCACAUUUAUGUUGAGAAAUUGGCAACCAUAAAUCAAGAUUCUGGGGAAGCAAUGCUAGAAGAAUACACCAACGAGCAAGCUGACAGAUUUGGGAGUUGCUGUGGCGGAUCUGAUGCGGAACCGGAACCACAUCCUAAAAGACUCUGCAGAAAUCAAAUAAAGAACCAAGAGUAAUAGCAGUGGCUUAGUGCUCUUAUAUCGUUCGACUUUGGGGACUUCUUCUUGUUGGUUUGCUAGACAUACUCACGGUUUCUUCCUCUAAUUUACUGGUGGAGGAGAAAGGCAAGAUCUUUGAGGCAGCUGGGCUUUUCGGGUUGAGCUGAAUUUUUGUUUACAGGGAGAUUGUGCUGAGCAGUGAGUCACCACUCAACGUUGUGCCACGCGUCGGCGUCUUCUCAUGUGUGUAUUAUGGCUUAUAUUACAAAAAUGGGCUUCUAUUUUCUGUGAUAGUCUUAUGUUUUUGCUGUAAUUACACAAGACUUGAUACCUUGUUUCUAGAUUUUUCAUGGAUUACGCAUUUAUGUUUUCCAAACCUCCUAAAUAUGUUUAUGUACCUAUUCAUACUUA